UCAUAUCUGAAAAACGCUUUCCACGGAUCCAACGGCCCAACUUUCGGGACAAAAGUCAGCAAUUACCCACCUUGUCCAAACCCAGAUCUAAUAAAAGGCCUCCGAGCACACACCGACGCGGGAGGGAUAAUCCUUCUAUUUCAAGACGACAAAGUGAGUGGUUUGCAACUGUUGAAGGAGGGGGAGUGGGUGGACGUGCCGCCGGUCCGGCACUCGAUCGUGGUGAAUAUCGGGGAUCAAUUGGAAGUGAUUACAAACGGGAAAUAUAAAAGUGUUUUGCACAGAG
rnacentral:lncRNA from 1 species